GCAGAAAGCCAACAAGACAUAAGGCAGCUCGUGUGAGGCGAUCACGGAGGACUUGGUGGGACUAGCAAUGGCUGGUGAAAUCUACUCAGGUGCAAACAUCUACAAAGUUUCACUAGUGGCUGCUUGUGAGCUGGAUGCCAGACCAGCUUGACUUACUGGCAGUACACAGAAAUCAGCUUAACAUCUGGAAGUAAAGAUGUCCUCCACCACGCAUCCCGUUUCCGUGAGAUGUACUGCUGCCACAGGCCCCAAAGCAACCAGUGCAAAUGCACUUCCUGUCCUGCCACUUUGCGAGCCCUCCACUUCCUGCCCCGCCACUGUGCAAGCCCUCCAUCCACUGCCUGCCCCCGCCAAAGUGCGAGCCCUCCACUUCCUGCCCCACCACCGUGCGAGCCCUCCAUCUACUUCCUGCCCCACCACCAUACGUGUUCUUGUUGCUAUGCCUCCAUUCCAACAUCACGAGCUUUUAUCUCCGUGUAACCAUAAGCCCAAAUAAAUGCUUCUUCUAU
rnacentral:lncRNA from 1 species